rnacentral:lncRNA from 1 species
AGCUGCUCUAAGUUAUCUAAGUCCAGCUCUUCUUCACUCAUCUCAUUAGCAUUAGACUCCACCUCAAGUUCUUGUUCUACAGCUUCAUUUCCAACCUCCAUAAUAGGACUUGUUGACGAUCCUUGGUGUGAAUGAAAUGGAGGACUGUACAUACCUAUUAUUUAAAAGGGAAAAUAUACUUGAGUCAAAUCCAUAAGGAACAUAUGCAGGAAUAUAUGCAGUCAAGUCCAUAUGAUAUUUAAUAACUAUUUUCAGCUUGCUUUUCGCCAUUUCUACAAAUGCAUUUAUCUAAAUUAGCAACAAAACCUGAAGUACCUUCACCCAAGGUAGUGAAGGGUAGGACCCAAAUAACACUCUACCAGUAAGUAGUAACCACAAUCAUUUGGGGUUCAAUCAGGACAAAAAGAGAUUAGACAUGGUGGAUCCUAUAUAUAUAAAGCGUUGAAAGUACCCGAAAUCAUCUCAUGGCCAAAACAAAAGCAAGUAUGUACUAGUACUUUAUAAGUCUAGCUUGCUACAUCAAAAAACAAAAAAACCCAGAUAAUAUUGAUAAUUCUUUCAUUAACGUUCGUUCAUUGAGCAAUGCGUUAAUUUUGCAGCAGUAAUUACUAAGUCCAAAUGCAAAAUUCUAACAAAACAAACCAACUAAAGAGAAAACAAGGAGAAGUCAGAAAAAUCAUAUAUAUAUAUAUAUAUAUAUAUAUAUAUAUAUAUAUAUAUAUAUAUAUAUAUAUAAUUUAUGUCAGACCACCACCAAAAUGUGCAUCCUGAACAAAUGACAAAAAAAGUUUAGUUCCAACUCCAAGUGUGUUGUCCCCUGGCCUAAACAGAGGAGGUAGAGUGCCACCAGCAUGUAUAAGUAGGCGUUAUUAACAACGACAAUUAAUGGGAACAUUCUCAGUAAAAAACAAGUCAAAUAUUCUGAAUCAAAAAACCCCCCUCCCUCCGUCCUCCAAUUUGGUGUUAGAGACAGACUGACUGACAAGCAUCGUCCUUGAUCCUACAACAAAUAAUAAUAACGAAGGGGGGCCAGGCAACGAAAACAUAAUAAUAAUAUUAUUCUCUCCGAGUUGGAUUGGAUAUCUUUUAGUACCUUAUUAGUCACUCACUAAAAAUUAAACACUUACCAGAAAUCACGAUGGAUUAGAGAAACCAGUCAAAUUGGACUGGUUUUGGCUGUUGUAGUGGACCGGCUGUUAAUGGA